AUUGAACGCUGGCGGCAGGCUUAACACAUGCAAGUCGAGCGGGGUGAUGGUGCUUGCACUAUCACUUAGCGGCGGACGGGUGAGUAAUGCUUAGGAAUCUGCCUAUUAGUGGGGGACAACAUCUCGAAAGGGAUGCUAAUACCGCAUACGUCCUACGGGAGAAAGCAGGGGAUCACUUGUGACCUUGCGCUAAUAGAUGAGCCUAAGUCGGAUUAGCUAGUUGGUGGGGUAAAGGCCUACCAAGGCGACGAUCUGUAGGGGGUCUGAGAGGAUGAUCCGCCACCAUGGGACUGAGACACGGCCCAGACUCCUACGGGAGGCAGCAGUGGGGAAUAUUGGACAAUGGGGGGAACCCUGAUCCAGCCAUGCCGCGUGUGUGAAGAAGGCCUUAUGGUUGUAAAGCACUUUAAGCGAGGAGGAGGCUCUUUUGGUUAAUACCCAAGAUGAGUGGACGUUACUCGCAGAAUAAGCACCGGCUAACUCUGUGCCAGCCGCCGCCGUAA
rnacentral:rRNA from 1 species